GAUGAACGCUAGCGGCAGGCCUAACACAUGCAAGUCGAGGGGUAGAAUUAGCUUGCUAAUUUGAGACCGGCGCACGGGUGCGUAACGCGUAUGCAAUCUACCUUGUACAGGGGGAUAGCCCAGAGAAAUUUGGAUUAAUACUCCAUGGUAUAAUUGAAUCGCAUGGUUUGAUUAUUAAAGUUCCAACGGUACAAGAUGAGCAUGCGUCCCAUUAGCUAGUUGGUGUGGUAACGGCAUACCAAGGCGACGAUGGGUAGGGGUCCUGAGAGGGAGAUCCCCCAACUGGUACUGAGACACGGACCAGACUCCUACGGGAGGCAGCAGUGAGGAAUAUUGGUCAAUGGUCGGAAGACUGAACCAGCCAUGCCGCGUGCAGGAAGACGGUCCUAUGGAUUGUAAACUGCUUUUGUACGGGAAGAAACACUCCUUCGUGAAGGAGCUUGACGGUACCGUAAGAUAAGGAUCGGCUAACCCGUGCCAGCAGCCGGGUAAA
rnacentral:rRNA from 1 species